UACAGAGGUCCCAAGCGUUGUUCGGAUUCAUUGGGCGUAAAGGGUGCGUAGGUGGUGCUGUAAGUUGGAUGUGAAAUCUCGGGGCUUAACCCCGAAACUGCAUUCAAUACUGCGGUGCUUGAGUACUGGAGAGGAGAUUGGAAUUCACGGUGUAGCAGUGAAAUGCGUAGAUAUCGUGAGGAAGACCAGUGGCGAAGGCGGAUCUCUGGACAGUCACUGACACUGAGGCACGAAGGCCAGGGGAGCAAACGGG
rnacentral:rRNA from 1 species